GGUAAUGCAUUGAUCAAGAGCUCAUCAGACCGCACCGUUUAGAAAGAAAAUGCGUGGCUGAAACAUUUUCCGGUUGUCCUGAUGAGGUAGCUUGUGAGCUGCCAUUCUGAACAGAGUAGGAACGGCCGGACAAGGUUCGUUAACCCGAAAUGAAGUGGAGUCAUUUAAUCAUGGCUCAAUUUAGGUGGUACCGCGAGUGGAAGCAUUCGUCCUAACG
rnacentral:ncRNA from 1 species